rnacentral:rRNA from 1 species
GUGCAGCAGGCGCGAAUACUCCGCAAUGCCCGAAAGGGUGACGGGGGGAUUCCAAGUGCCUACGCUUAGCGUAGGCUGUUCAGGUGCCUAAAAAGCACCUGGAGGAAGGGCUGGGUAAGACGGGUGCCAGCCGCCGCGGUAAUACCCGCAGCCCGUGUGGUAGUCGCUUUUAUUGGGCCUAAAGCGUCCGUAGCCGGUCUGGUAAAUGCCUGGGUAAAUCGUGGGGCUUAACCUCACGAAUUCCGGGUAGACUGCCAGACUUGGGACCGGUUGAGGGAGAGGGUACUCCGAGGGGUAGGGGUGAAAAUCAGCAAGGUAAGCUGAUGUAACUUGCCUUGCAAGUCACAAUCCUGUAAUCCUUGGAGGACCACCGGUGGCGAAAGCGCUCUCCUAGGACGGGUCCGACGGUGAAGGGGACGAAAGCCAGGGGAGCAAAACCGGAUUAGAUACCCGUGUA